rnacentral:rRNA from 1 species
AUGAACGCUGGCGGCGUGCUUAACACCUGCAAGUCGAACGGGAAACCUUUUAUUGAAGCUUCGGCAGAUUUAGCUGGUUUCUAGUGGCGGACGGGUGAGUAACGCGUGGGUAACCUGCCUUAUACAGGGGGAUAACAACCAGAAAUGGUUGCUAAUACCGCAUAAGCGCACAGGACCGCAUGGUCCGGUGUGAAAAACUCCGGUGGUAUAAGAUGGACCCGCGUUGGAUUAGCUAGUUGGCAGGGUAACGGCCUACCAAGGCGACGAUCCAUAGCCGGCCUGAGAGGGUGAACGGCCACAUUGGGACUGAGACACGGCCCAGACUCCUACGGGAGGCAGCAGUGGGGAAUAUUGCACAAUGGGGGAAACCCUGAUGCAGCGACGCCGCGUGAAGGAAGAAGUAUCUCGGGAUGUAAACUUCUAUCAGCAGGGAAGAUAGUGACGGUACCUGACUAAGAAGCCCCGGCUAACUACGUG